GGGCUGUUGGUCUAGCGGUAUGAUUCUCGCUUUGGGUUCACUUUGACUCAUUAGGCUCCGGCUUGCGAGAGGUCCCGGGUUCAAUCCCCGGACAGCCCC